GACGAACGCUGGCGGCGUGCUUAACACAUGCAAGUCGAACGGAAAGGCCCUGCUUUUGUGGGGUGCUCGAGUGGCGAACGGGUGAGUAACACGUGAGUAACCUGCCCUUGACUUUGGGAUAACUUCAGGAAACUGGGGCUAAUACCGGAUAGGAGCUCCUGCUGCAUGGUGGGGGUUGGAAAGUUUCGGCGGUUGGGGAUGGACUCGCGGCUUAUCAGCUUGUUGGUGGGGUAGUGGCUUACCAAGGCUUUGACGGGUAGCCGGCCUGAGAGGGUGACCGGCCACAUUGGGACUGAGAUGCGGCCCAGACUCCUACGGGAGGCAGCAGUGGGGAAUAUUGCACAAUGGGCGGAAGCCUGAUGCAGCAACGCCGCGUGCGGGAUGACGGCCUUCGGGUUGUAAACCGCUUUCGCCUGUGACGAAGCGUGAGUGACGGUAAUGGGUAAAGAAGCACCGGCUAACUACGUA
rnacentral:rRNA from 1 species